rnacentral:rRNA from 1 species
AGAACGAACGCUGGCGGCGUGGAUAAGACAUGCAAGUCGAACGCGAUUUAUCAGGUUAGCAAUAACUUGGUGGAUUGAGUGGCGAAAGGGUGCGUAACACGUGGGAAUUUACCAAGAAGUGGGGAAUAGCUCGACGAAAGUCGAAUUAAUACCGCAUGUGAUCGAAAGAUCAAAGUCGGGGACCGCAAGGCCUGACGCUUUUUGAGAAGCCCGCGGCCCAUCAGCUAGUUGGUGAGGUAAUGGCUCACCAAGGCUAUGACGGGUAGCUGGUCUGAGAGGACGACCAGCCACACUGGAACUGAGACACGGUCCAGACACCUACGGGUGGCAGCAGUCGAGAAUUUUUCACAAU